GAAGUCGGAGGUUAGUGAGACAAGAUGUGAGGGAGGGAAGGUGGCCUGAGGAACAGGGUCCCCAGAGGUGGUGGCCCUGCGGCGGUGGUGAUGAUGUAACCAUGUGCAGCUCCCUCAGCGCGCUUCUCUCUCAGAUUCUUCUCCCUUCCACCUCGGACACUCUUCUCCUCCGUUCCUCUCGACUGAGACAAUCUGAGGGCUGUGCCCAGAGCCUUAUCAUCAGCAGAAACUGAAGCAUCUAUGAAAUAACGGAAUCAAGCACCCUUCUCUGAUAUGAUCUCUUUUCCUUAUGGUUCGUUGCUAGGUUGGCUCACUGCAGCUGUUGGACAAACUGGCUGGGGGAACAGUGACCCUUCUUUUCUUUAUUCUCCCCUUCUCGGUCUUAGGGUGUAGACUUGCCAUCAGAAUUCUUUCCUGAAUCAAUUCAACUCCCCUCCCUUGUCUAUCCGAACCACCCUGCCUCCCUGGUUAAGCGCCAGCCUUAGAUGGAUCCAGCACUUGCCUGCAUUUGUAUUUGAGCAGCUGAGGACCACUAGAGGAAAUCAUUCCAGCAGACAAGACUAUGGCCUGGCCGCUCUAAAACACUUCCCAUCAACUUCAAUUGUAUGCUCCCAAGUCAGAAAUCUCAGCAACGGCUCUCUCUUCCACCCUUAGCAAUUGGGGUUUUAGACCUUCCGUCUGCAGCCUCCCCUGCAGCCCAGCCACUUUAGGAACCACUUUUUUUCCCAGUGGAAAAUAAAAGCUGCAAGACAAGAACACUCUCGGUCUGUGAUACACCUUUCAUUUUUAUUAAGAUGGGGGCAGAUUGGCCUCAAACUUGCUAUUGUCUUUCUUAGCCCCUGAAUGCCAGGGUUGCAAGCCUGCUUCAUCAUGUCCAGCCAAAGCCUUUAAAAAAAGUUAUCACCAUUUUUGGUGUUUUGAGACAGGGUCUCACUAUGCAUAAUCCUAGCUUUGACCACUCUAUGUAGACCAGGCUGACCUCAAACUUAUCUUCCUGCGGCUACAUACCAAAUGCUGGGCUUAAAGGCAUGUGCCAUCAGGCCCAGUUCAAACCUGUGUGUUUUAA
rnacentral:lncRNA from 1 species